rnacentral:ncRNA from 7 species
UCGGAAGGUGCGGCUGGAUCACCUCCUUU